GCCCAGACUCCUACGGGAGGCAGCAGUGGGGAAUAUUGCACAAUGGGGGAAACCCUGAUGCAGCGACGCCGCGUGAGCGAUGAAGUAUUUCGGUAUGUAAAGCUCUCUCAGCAGGGAAGAAGGAGGACGGUACCUGACUAAGAAGCCCCGGCUAACUACGUGCCAGCAGCCGCGGUAAUACGUAGGGGGCAAGCGUUAUCCGGAUUUACUGGGUGUAAAGGGAGCGUAGACGGCGACGCAAGUCUGGAGUGAAAGCCCGGGGCCCAACCCCGGGACUGCUCUGGAAACUGCGUCGCUGGAGUACGGGAGGGGCAGGCGGAAUUCCUGGUGUAGCGGUGAAAUGCGUAGAUAUCAGGAGGAACACCAGUGGCGAAGGCGGCCUGCUGGACGAUGACUGACGUUGAGGCUCGAAAGCGUGGGGAGCAAACAGGAUUAGAUACCCUGGUACG
rnacentral:rRNA from 1 species